GAUGCGUUGUUUGAACCGCAUGGUAUAGACAAAAGGUGGCUUCGGCUACCACUUACAGAUGGACCAGUGGCGCAUUAGCUAGUUGGUGAGGUAACGGCUCACCAAGGCAACGAUGCGUAGCCGACCUGAGAGGGUGAUCGGCCCCACUGGGACUGAGACACGGCCCAGACUCCUACGGGAGGCAGCAGUAGGGAAUCUUCCGCAAUGGACGAAAGUCUGACGGAGCAACGCCGCGUGAGUGAUGAAGGUUUUCGGAUCGUAAAGCUCUGUUGUUAGGGAAGAACAAGUGCCGUUCAAAUAGGGCGGCACCUUGACGGUACCUAACCAGAAAGCCACGGCUAACUACGUGCCAGCAGCCGCGGUAAUACGUAGGUGGCAAGCGUUGUCCGGAAUUAUUGGGCGUAAAGGGCUCGCAGGCGGUUCUUAAGUCUGAUGUGAAAGCCCCCGGCUCAACCGGGGAGGGUCAUUGGAAACUGGGGAACUUGAGUGCAGAAGAGGAGAGUGGAAUUCCACGUGUAGCGGUGAAAUGCGUAGAGAUGUGGAGGAACACCAGUGGCGAAGGCGACUCUCUGGUCUGUAACUGACGCUGAGGAGCGAAAGCGUGGGGAGCGAACAGGAUUAGAUACCCUGGUAGUCCACGCCGUAAACGAUGAGUGCUAAGUGUUAGGGGUUUCCGCCCCUUAGUGCUGCAGCUAACGCAUUAAGCACUCCGCCUGGGGAGUACGGUCGC
rnacentral:rRNA from 1 species